GCUAUACAGAGAAACCCUGUCUCGAAAAACCAAAAAAAAAAAAAAAAACAAACAAACAAAAAAAAAAAAUGUGAUUUUGUUUUUUGAUCUUUGUUGGUUUCCCCGGAGAGACAGUGCUGAAAUGUGUUUGAACUGCCUAGAGGAAUGAAGAACUCGUAAAAAGGGAACAUUGAGAGCCUGGUGCAGGGACACUCACCUACAGUCCCAGCUAUAGGAGGUUGAAGCAGGAGGAUUAUUUUAGCCCCAGGGUCAGAUGUGGAUCUGGGCUACCUAGUGAGAAACCCCACCUCUAAAAGGGGAGGUCCCACCUCUAAAAGGGGAGGUCCCACCUCUAAAAGGGGAGGUCCCAUGUCACUUUUCCAAGUUAAGCAACCACUGCUACUUUGGUUCAGAGUCUGCCAAAGGUUUUUGGUUUGGUUUCGUAUCACUUGUUUGUUUUGAGUGAAGCCAUUGUGUUUUGUUUUGUUUUUAAUGUGUUUGUUUUGUUUCAUAUAGGGGUUCCAGUUUUGUUUUGUGGGGGAGUCUCCAUUGGCUUUGAAUUUGUAAUGUAGACCAAGCCGGAACUCAUUAUGUACAGUCUAGAGCUCACUAGGUAGACCAGGCUAGAACGCACUAUGUAGACCAGGCUGGCUUCAAAUAUGUGGCUUUCACCCCAGCCUCUGUUUCUGCCUCUCAAGUUCUGCUGAUUCGGUGCUAUUUUAAAUGCGUGUUCAAGUCCGGCACAAGUUCCAAUGUCUCAUGUAAUUAUCGUAAAUUCACAAUGGGAUUUAAGACCUUAAAUUAUUUGCUUCUUAAAAAGCCAUUCUGAGUCAUGUGGUGAGAGGGAUGCUAGUGCCAAACUGAGAUUAAAACCUUGUAUCUUCUGACUGUUCAUCUAGUACUUGUGACUCUGUCACCUGAAAGGAUCAAGUGUCUUAGAGUUAGGAAUUAGUACAGUAAUGGGAGAAAGAGUGGCCACUUCUAGAAUUUGAAAAAAAUGCCUAUAUUAUUAUUGAAGAUUAGUUUAAAUGCUAAUUUUUAUUUUCCACCUCAGUACUGAGGAUUGAAUUUAGAGCCUGGCACACAGUAGGCAAGCAUAAACCCUCAUUUUUCUUUUUAUUUUGAAACAGGGGCUUAAUAAGUUGCCUGGGCUGGCAUUGAAUUUAUUCUGCAGCCCAGAAUGGCCCUGACUCAUGAUCCUCUUGUCUCAGCCUCCCAAGUAGCUGGGAUUACAGGCAUGUACCACCAAAGUUCAGCUUCAUUCUUACUUUAGAAUAUCAAAAUUCAGUCCGUUGUGUUAUAGCAGCCAUAAGAAGGCUCACCACCCCGUAGCUGAGAGCCUGUGAGCAUACGUCAGCCACUCCAUGAUAUUCCACCCAAGGAGCCUCCAACUCUGCCAUUUCCAAAGCCCUGCUCAGAGGUUCAAAGUGUGGAUCGCGUUACAGAGCAAGGCAUGUCUGUACUAGAUGGUUUGCUGGGCUAGACAGUUCUGCCUCUUGGGCAAGAAACCCCAGGGAAAAGAGGAGUUUGUACUGAACUGAAGGGUGUGAGUCAGGGGCCCUAAGUUGCCACACUGAUUGACUAGAAGAAACAUUUUGCUCUCCCACUACACUACUCACAAAGAGAAUAAUUCCAAUUGGCCGUGUCAGCAAAGUGGGCGGUGCACAGGCUGAGGCUUCAGUGGUCUGCAGGGCUGACCUCCAGCCCAGUCUCACAAGCUCAGCGUCUGAGCAGGGGACAGGCGCACUUCCCCUUCUUCCCUGCCUUGGUUUUUUUCUGAUCUUUUACUGGAAGGCACUGAAAUCAGCCCUAGAGAUUCCUUAUAUGAGAUACUACCUGGAUCAAGCCCAUAUGUUUUCAUGGUGGCCUUCACUGAAACUUACCAAAUGGGCAAAACUUAAAGUGAGAUGCUCGGGAAAGUGACUGACUAAUUGCAUGCACUACUCCUUCAGUGAACUCAAGUUCAGUCCCCAGAACUCAUCUCGGGUGGUUUACCACCUCCUGUAAGGGAUUUGAUGCCCUCUGCUGGCCUCCUGGGGUACCUGCACUUAUGUGUAUAUACCCAUACACAGAUACACAUGAACACACGU
rnacentral:lncRNA from 1 species